rnacentral:rRNA from 1 species
UUAAAUAUGUAUACCACCCUGAACGCACCCAACCUCGGAAGCUAAGCAGGAUUGGGCCUGGUUAGUACUUGGAUGGGAAACCACCUGAGAAUACUGGGUGCUGUAGGCU